rnacentral:rRNA from 1 species
AGAGAGAGACAUGCGCGCAUAUCAAUAAGCGGAGGAAAAGAAACUAACAAGGAUUCCCUCAGUAACGGCGAGUGAAGCGGGAAGAGCUCAAAUUUGAAAUCUUCAAGGUUCUACCUUGACGAAUUGUAGUUUAAAGAAGUGUUUUCUGUUGGAGUUUUGGUAAAAGUUCUUUGGAAUAGGACAUCAUAGAGGGUGAGAAUCCCGUAUUUGACCAUUACUUUCAGCUUUGUGAUACACUUUCAAAGAGUCGGAUUGUUUGGGAAUGCAGUCCAAAAUGGGUGGUAAAUUUCAUCUAAAGCUAAAUAUUGGCGAGAGACCGAUAGCGAACAAGUACCGUGAGGGAAAGAUGAAAAGAACUUUGAAAAGAGAGUUAAACAGUACGUGAAAUUGUCAAAAGGGAAGCGUUUGACACCAGUGUUGUUUUCUCGAAAAUCAAUUAAAAAGGGCAGGAUUUUGUGUUGUAUUGACUUUAUCAGCUUUCUGCACUCUUUUCUUGUCUUUUUAAUGCACUUUUCGUUUAACAAGUCAACAUCAAUUUCUUUUGUUGUAAAAAGGGUCAUUGGAAGGUGGCUUUCUUUUCGGAGAAAGUGUUUAUAGCCUUUGGCCUCUGCAAUCGGAGAGAUUGAGGUCUGCAGCGUAGAUCCUUCGGGGUUAGAUACAUUUGUGCUAAGUUAUAGCCUUUCAUAGACAACUUGUUGACUAUGAUCAGUCAUGUAGCUUACUCGCUUAUGCUAUUUUACCUACGCUUAGGAUGUUGAUGUGAUACUGCGAGCA